AAUUUUCCGAUAUCAAUAAAAUGUUUUUUUGAAAGGCAUGGAAAGGCUGAUCCUAAGUUAGUAUAGGGUUCGGAAAUAUUGGGCAAGUUGAGCUUGCUAUGAGUACAAUAGUUUUCCGAAGCUUUUACAGUAUGUCUGUAGUAGUGCGAAAGUUUUUCCGAGUUGAGUAGCUUGGCUAGGAAGCCAGCCCAUUUUGUAGGAAAAACUUUCAUAUCUACGAUCUUUCAAACUGUCCGACUAACUUGACAAGCCAUCCUUCGGGUUGUUGAAGUCAGGUUUGUGGCAAGCCGUCCUUCGGGUUGUUGAAGCCCUGUCCUACUACGUAAGAAAACUGUUGUGCUUGUAGUUUGGCUGUCUUGCUUGGUGUUUCCAGAGAGGGGUGAUCCCUGGUGGGACUAUACGUUCCAAUUAUACGGACCGUAUAAAUUAUACGGCCCGUAUAAUAGGCCGUAUAAAUCGGGUCAGGUCAAAAGAUUUUUUUAAUAACAUGGAUGACCCUUGCUCAUUUUCAUUUCACACAUUCUUCCAAGCUCUCCAAAAACUCCAAAACCCUUAUGUAAGCAUACUACACCCAAACCCAAGAGAUUACAAAGAUCAAAUAGCAAGAAUCAAGUGUUCAUGUGUUAGAAGGUUUCCUAGGGUUGGUAGAUUUCAAGAAAUACUUAGGCAUUGUAGCUAGGGUUUUUGCACAAGUUGAUAGCUGCUCCAAAGCUUGUUUCUAUGGGAUAAAAAGAUUAUUCAAGCUUCAACGGUGAACGUUAAAUAGCUAAGAAGACAAAGAGGUGGACAGGGAGACAGGCUUGAUCCAUAGAUUUAUUUUCAGGGACUACAUAGAGGAGCUCCAUUUCAUCCGGAGCUACAGCUUUUGGGUAUUAUUCUUUUGUGUACUUACAUAUGGGCAUGACGGGGUCCUGUCCCGCCCGUACUAUGUUACAUACUCUUCCUAGAGGCUCCUAGAUAGUUGUGUAUGGUUAGAUGUCUUGCAGCCUGGUUGGCUCAUAUUUUUGUAUAUCAUUUCGAUAGCCUUGUCAGCUUAUGUAUACGGAUAUGGGCAUUAUUAUUCAUGAUGAUAUAAAUGCGUUG